UUCCCUCAUGUCUUGCUUCUAUUUCAGCUAAUUCCAGGAAAAAAUCUUACUUAAGCUCACUCAGUUCUAACACAUAUGAACAUUUCCUGCCCUACCUUUUCUCAGACCUUGCAUGAAAUGUCUUUGUUUCCUCCCUCUAUUCUGUAAGUCAACUAAGAACCUGAAAGUUGGCAUAGGAAGAAGUGAGGAGCUACAGAGUCAGGCAGAACUAGCUUUGGUUCCUAGAAAAGAUUGCAACAUAAUCACAGCUGCUUAGCUCUACCCCUAUCUUCAGAGAUUUAUGGCUUCA
rnacentral:lncRNA from 1 species